rnacentral:tRNA from 1 species
GGAGAGGUGUCCGAGUCUGGCUUAAGGAGCAUGAUUGGAGAUCAUGUGUAGCCCCUGUUGGCUACCGAGGGUUCAAAUCCCUCCCUCUCCG